rnacentral:rRNA from 1 species
UACGUAGGGUGCGAGCGUUGUCCGGAAUUAUUGGGCGUAAAGAGCUUGUAGGCGGUUUGUCGCGUCUGCCGUGAAAAUUCGAGGCUCAACCUCGAACUUGCGGUGGGUACGGGCAGACUAGAGUGCGGUAGGGGAGAUCGGAAUUCCUGGUGUAGCGGUGAAAUGCGCAGAUAUCAGGAGGAACACCGGUGGCGAAGGCGGGUCUCUGGGCCGAUAUUGACGCUGAGGAGCGAAAGCGUGGGGAGCGAACAGG